CUCGUAGGCGGUUUGGUAAGUCGGAUGUGAAAUCUCCACGCUCAACGUGGAGCGGCCAUUCGAUACUGCCAUGACUUGAGUCCGGUAGAGGAGUGUGGAAUUCCCGGUGUAGCGGUGAAAUGCACAGAUAUCGGGAGGAACACCAGUAGCGAAGGCGGCACUCUGGGCCGGUACUGACGCUGAGGAGCGAAAGCGUGGGGAGCGAACA
rnacentral:rRNA from 1 species